CCUUACCUACCCUUGACAUGGCAGGAAUCCUGAAGAGAUUUGGGAGUGCUCGAAAGAGAACCUGCACACAGGUGCUGCAUGGCCGUCGUCAGCUCGUGUCGUGAGAUGUUGGGUUAAGUCCCGCAACGAGCGCAACCCUUGUCAUUAGUUGCUACGAAAGGGCACUCUAAUGAGACUGCCGGUGACAAACCGGAGGAAGGUGGGGAUGACGUCAGGUCCUCAUGGCCCUUAUGGGUAGGGCUACACACGUCAUACAAUGGCCGGUACAGAGGGCUGCCAACCCGCGAGGGGGAGCCAAUCCCAGAAAACCGGUCGUAGUCCGGAUCGCAGUCUGCAACUCGACUGCGUGAAGUCGGAAUCGCUAGUAAUCGCGGAUCAGAAUGUCGCGGUGAAUACGUUCCCGGGUCUUGUACACACCGCCCGUCACACCAUGGGAGCGGGUUCUGCCAGAAGUAGUUAGCCUAACCGCAAGGGGGGCGAUUACCACGGCAGGGUUCGUGACUGGGGUGAAGUCGUAACAAGGUAGCCGUAUCGGAAGGUGCGGCUGGAUCACCUCCUU
rnacentral:rRNA from 1 species